CCUCAGUAACGGCGAGUGAAGCGGCACAGCUCAAAUUUGAAAUCUGGCUCUCGGGCCCGAGUUGUAAUUUGUAGAGGGGAUUUCGGAGGCGGCGCCGGCCUAAGUUCCUUGGAACAGGGCGUCAUAGAGGGUGAGAAUCCCGUACGUGGCCGGCGGUCAAUUCCAUGUGAAACCCCUUCGACGAGUCGAGUUGUUUGGGAAUGCAGCUCAAAAUGGGUGGUAAAUUUCAUCUAAAGCUAAAUACCGGCCAGAGACCGAUAGCGCACAAGUAGAGUGAUCGAAAGAUGAAAAGCACUUUGGAAAGAGAGUUAAAAAGUACGUGAAAUUGUUGAAAGGGAAGCGCUUGCAACCAGACUUGCUCGCGGGUGAUCAGCCCCCCUUCGCGGAGGGUGCACUCGCCCGCGAUCAAGCCAGCAUCGGUUUUGACGGGCGGAUAAAGGCCCCGGGAAUGUAGCUCCCCUCGGGGAGUGUUAUAGCCCGAGGUACCAUGCGCCCAGUCGGGACCGAGGACCGCGCUUCGGCUAGGAUGCUGGCGUAAUGGUUGUAAGCGACCCGUCUUGAAACACGGACCAAGGAGUCUAACAUCUAUGCGAGUGUUUGGGUGAUARACCCAUGCGCGGAAUGAAAGUGAACGGAGGUGGGAGCCCCUUUCGGGGGGCGCACCAUCGACCGAUCCAGAUGUCUUCGGAUGGAUUUGAGUAGGAGCAUAGCUGUUGGGACCCGAAAGAUGGUGAACUAUGCCUGGAUAGGGUGAAKCCAGAGGAAACUCUGGUGGAGGCUCGCAGCGGUUCUGACGURCAAAU
rnacentral:rRNA from 1 species